rnacentral:rRNA from 1 species
UACAGGGGGGGCAAGCGUUGUCCGGAAUUACUGGGCGUAAAGCGCACGUAGGCGGCUUUGUAAGUUAGAGGUGAAAGCCUGGAGCUCAACUCCAGAAUUGCCUUUGAUACUGCAUGGCUUGAAUCCAGGAGAGGUGAGUGGAAUUCCGAGUGUAGAGGUGAAAUUCGUAGAUAUUCGGAAGAACACCAGUGGCGAAGGCGGCUCACUGGACUGGUAUUGACGCUGAGGUGCGAAAGCGUGGGGAGCAAACAGG